CUGGAUAAAGUUUCUUCGUAUAUGUACUAUAUUUCACAUAUCCAAUUAUCACUUAAUGGGCAUCUAGGUUGCUUUCAUUUCCUAGUAUUGUGAAUAGGAUAAUAAUGAACAUGGCUGUGGCAGAGAAAGCUUGCCGAAUGAACGCUGCUUCCUGACUGUGGACACAAUGUGACCGGCUGCUUCCAGCUCCUGCUGCCUUGACUUUUCCCUACAAUGAUGGACUGUGUCUCCAAACUGCGAUGAAAGAGAUGGAAGAUUAAAUAACAGUCUAAAGUCAUACAUGGUUGAUGACAGAGAAAAUACAGGUCACAGGCCAUCACUGAGGAAAAUGAGUGCAGAAGCUUGAGGCAGGAAACCUGGAAGAAGUCUACUUGCUGCCUUGUUCUCUGGAUCAGUCACAGGCUCACACUGCACUGUCUUAUACAGUUCAAGACGAUCUAGGGAUAGUGCUAGCUAAGGUUGGCUCAGCUCUCCUGCAUCAACUAACAAUCAAGACAAUAGCACACAGG
rnacentral:lncRNA from 1 species